ACAAACAACGAAAUUAAGUUUACUCCUUUUGGAAUUGCCUUUGGAAACAUUGAUUCAUGUGGACACAGUAGUAAUUAGUUUGUUAACAAUUUGUUGUAGUAAUUAAAACAAGAUUAUCUCAAGGUACAUGCGUGGAAACCAUUUCGAUUGAAGGCAUUCGCUGAAGAAAGGUCCAGAAGAGCAAAAAACAAAAGACUACAACGACGGCGUGUGCUAGCAGCCGAUUUGCGCACCUGCAGGAGAAACUGACCACACCUUGAUUACAACACGAAACCAGACGACGCGAUGAGUCACUGCGGCUGGGAAUCGAUGCCCAUCAGAGGAGCAGCUCACGCGAAUUACACGUGUAUUGUUCGUGUGACUGCAUCGUGUAUCUGACAAUAGUUGCAUUGGAGGUGUUUGUGUGGAGGAAAAGAAAACGAGGCAUUAAUAGGAAAUUCCUAUGACAUGAACAGAAGAUAGAUACAGGUGACUUUUGUUGCAUUUUAACCGACUGUGUUAUGAAAUGUAAAAUCAGUGGAAUCAUACAAAUAAAAGACAACAUUU